GCGUCGGUGGUGCAACGGUUUUUGCACAUGCUCGCGGAAAGAGUAAGAUCUGGGUUCAAAUCCCGGCAGAGGCA